GAUCUGUUAUAACUCAAGGGCUCUUUUUCUUUUAGAGGGAACUUAAGGCAUAUGUUGGAACAUGCAUAAGCAUUCUGUUGUAUGUUUUAUGGUCCUAAUCAAUUCAUUUACUACAUUCAGUUGAUACAAGAUAUUCUGCGAAGUGGAAGAAUGCUGACGGUUUGUUCGUCUUUCUUUUUAUCUUCAUGUAUUCAGGAACAAGGCCUUAUUCACCGGUAAAAUUUCUAAUUUGUUUGGGUUUUUCUUUUACCCUGAAUCAGAAGAGUUGUUAGUGACUUGGGUAGGUUACUGGUAACUGGUUGAACAUACCCUUAAUUCUCUUGUCCAAAUUAUUUGGAAUUCGGCAUUGUGGCUUUGAUUUUUGUACAACAAUCAAAUCGCUAAUGAUUUGAGGCUGUAACAAAUUACAAUUAGGUUGAUUCCAGUUAUUAAUAACCCAUGGUUAUUUACUACAAAAAAAAAAAAAAAA
rnacentral:lncRNA from 1 species